UACGGAAGGGGCUAGCGUUGUUCGGAAUCAUUGGGCGUAAAGGGCGCGUAGGUGGUCCUGUGUGUCUUCCGUGAAAGCCCACGGCUCAACCGUGGUAGGUCGGGAGAAACUGCAGGACUUGAGGCUGGGAGGGGCUGGUGGAAUUCCCUGUGUAGCGGUGAAAUGCGUAGAGAUGGGGGAGAACACUCGUGGCGAAGGCGGCCAGCUGGACCAGUUCUGACACUGAGGCGCGAUAGCGUGGGGAGCAAACAGG
rnacentral:rRNA from 1 species